GAUGAACGCUGGCGGCGUGCCUAAUACAUGCAAGUCGAGCGAACAGACGAGGAGCUUGCUCCUCUGACGUUAGCGGCGGACGGGUGAGUAACACGUGGAUAACCUACCUAUAAGACUGGGAUAACUUCGGGAAACCGGAGCUAAUACCGGAUAAUAUAUUGAACCGCAUGGUUCAAUAGUGAAAGACGGUUUUGCUGUCACUUAUAGAUGGAUCCGCGCCGCAUUAGCUAGUUGGUAAGGUAACGGCUUACCAAGGCAACGAUGCGUAGCCGACCUGAGAGGGUGAUCGGCCACACUGGAACUGAGACAGGGUCCAGACUACUACGGGAGGCAGCAGAAGGGAAUGUUCCGCAAUGGGCGAAAGCCUGACGGAGCAACGCCGCGUGAGUGAUGAAGGUCUUCGGAUCGUAAAACUCUGUUAUUAGGGAAGAACAAAUGUGUAAGUAACUAUGCACGUCUUGACGGUACCUAAUCAGAAAGCCACGGCUAACUACGUG
rnacentral:rRNA from 1 species